GCAGUUCGUUGGGAUACAUCGGAUGUCUUGCUUGGAACCGGAAGCGCAACAUUAUCACCCGGGCUGAAAACCUCUAUGACUGUUUAUAUUUUGGGUGAAUUUCGUUUGUUCAACUGAUCAAAACACACUUGACUUGCAUCGAAUUUAAAACCGCACGACGGUUAGGUUUUUACUGAACGACCAUCGAAGCAACAAAACUGGCCCCUCCACUUCCUGUCACUAUGCCCGCCCUUCUGGAGAGACCCAAGCUUUCCAACGCGAUGGCCCGAGCCCUCCACAAGCACAUCAUGAGGGAGAGGGAGCGCAAGAGACAAGAGGAGGAAGAGGUGGACAAAAUGAUGGAACAGAAGAUGAAAGAGGAGGAGGAGAGGAAGAGGACGAAAGAAAUAGAGGAGAGGAUGUCUUUGGAGGAAACAAAAGAACAGGUAAUGAAGAUGGGGGAGAAACUGCAGGGACUUCAGGAGGAGAAACACCAGCUCUUCUUACAGCUGAAGAAAGUACUUCAUGAAGAGGAAAAGAGGCGGAGAAAGGAGCAGAGGUAUGACAUCACAACGUUGACGUCGGCGAGCUACCAACCCAGCCUGCCCAUGCACGCAGGGCAGCACCUUCUCAGCAUUCAAGGCAGUCCAGUCAGCCACAGUCGACCUGGUGCACUUCUCGGAGAACGUAGUAAACAGCUGUUCCCCGCUGCUGUGAUUCCAGCACGUCACUAUCAGACCCCCGGCUUCGGCUCAAGCCCGGCAGAGCAUGGACAGUUCAGCGGGAGCCAGGGGGUCCACGAGCCCUAUGGAGUGGCUCAGGCCCAGCACCCCUCCACCUACGCCGCCGGACCAUCAGUACCUGUCAGUUUCGCCAGCAGCUCUCAGAUCAGAGGUGCGUCUGCAUUUCAGGCCAUGCAGUACCUCCCCCACCAGCAGGCUGGAUACCCUGUCCACAGUCACUUCACCUCCCAGCCUGGGUAUAUUCCUGGAGCAGGGAUCCCCCUCCAGAAGCAGCUGGAACAUGCCAACCAACAGUCCGGCUUUACCGAUGCAGUAAGAAAUGACAUAUCAAAUUGAGUCCUUCAAAUCAUAGUAUUAUUAUUCGGCGCUCUGAGGCCCAUGCAUCCACCAGCCAUGCACCCGUCAGCUCCGGGACUGCUGCCCACCCCCUCCAUGGGGGUCCAGAUCCCCACUGCAAAGGCCUCAUUCCAGAGCUCUCCCCAGGCUGCUCCUCGCCACGGCUUCCUCCCCCACAGCCAGAGCGGGCAGAGGUUCUACCACCACGGGAAGUAACUCACCCUCACCUUCAUCUUCACCACCGCAGACACUUCACUCAAGAUUCUGGAGAACCUUUUUCAACAAGUAAUCGAUUGAUUUCAGCAGAAAGUCAUUAUUGUGCCAUCUGAUUGGUGUUUUAUAUCCUGUACAGUUUGUUUUUGUUGACUUUCUUAAAGCGAUCUGUCGACUACAUGCUUCGGUAGACUUUUUUUUUUUUACAAAACUCAAUUUGUAAAGUAGGUUGUUAUUUUAACUACACUGUACAGCAGUUGUGAAUGUGCUCAUGUGCAUUAACAUGUUAAUAUCUUCAUGAAACAGAGCUUAUCCUUUGUAUACUAACAUUCAUUACUAUGAGAGGAGGAUUCAGUGUUUGCGCAGUGGCUUUUAAUGGAAAAAUAUUCAGUUGAACUUAAUCAUUUUAUGAUGUUUUUGGAUUAAAUCAGCAAACAGUCACUCACACGGAUGAAUCCAACUGAAACUGAAAGACUCUAUUCCACUGUUGCUGACUCGUUGAUCACAUUAGAUCAAUAACGCUUGGUUACCGCAAAUGACAUUAAAAUGACUUUUCUGACAAAAUAACAGAUUUUUCCAGUGUUUUCCUCUUCUACAGAAGUCGGCUGUUUUAACACUUUAAGUUGCUAAAUAAAAACAAUAUGCAAACAGAAAA